AUUGAACGCUGGCGGCAGGCCUAACACAUGCAAGUCGAGCGGUAGCACAAGGGAGCUUGCUCCCUGGGUGACGAGCGGCGGACGGGUGAGUAAUGUCUGGGAAACUGCCUGAUGGAGGGGGAUAACUACUGGAAACGGUAGCUAAUACCGCAUAACGUCUUCGGACCCAAGAGGGGGACCUUCGGGCCUCUUGCCAUCGGUUGUGCCCAGAUGGGAUUAGCUGGUAGGUGAGGUAAAGGCGCACCUAGGCGACGAUCCCUGGCUGGUCUGAGAGGAUGACCAGCCACACUGGAACUGAGACACGGUCCAGACUCCUACGGGAGGCAGCAGUGGGGAAUAUUGCACAAUGGGCGCAAGCCUGAUGCAGCCAUGCCGCGUGUGUGAAGAAGGCCUUCGGGUUGUAAAGCACUUUCAGCGGGGAGGAAGGCGAUAAGGUUAAUAACCUUGUCGAUUGACGUUACCCGCAGAAGAAGCACCGGCUAACUCCGUGCCAGCCGCCGCAGUAAGAC
rnacentral:rRNA from 1 species